UACGUAGGGUGCAAGCGUUAAUCGGAAUUACUGGGCGUAAAGCGUGCGCAGGCGGUUGUGCAAGACAGAUGUGAAAUCCCCGGGCUCAACCUGGGAAUUGCAUUUGUGACUGCACGGCUAGAGUGUGUCAGAGGGGGGUAGAAUUCCACGUGUAGCAGUGAAAUGCGUAGAGAUGUGGAGGAACACCGAUGGCGAAGGCAGCCCCCUGGGCCAACACUGACGCUCAGGCACGAAAGCGUGGGGAGCAAACAGG
rnacentral:rRNA from 1 species